AGUGAACGCUGGCGAUAGGCCUAACACAUGCAAGUCGAACGGCAGCACAGUAAGAGCUUGCUCUUACGGGUGGCGAGUGGCGGACGGGUGAGGAAUACAUCGGAAUCUACUUUUUCGUGGGGGAUAACGUAGGGAAACUUACGCUAAUACCGCAUACGACCUACGGGUGAAAGCAGGGGAUCUUCGGACCUUGCGCGAUUGAAUGAGCCGAUGUCGGAUUAGCUAGUUGGCGGGGUAAAGGCCCACCAAGGCGACGAUCCGUAGCUGGUCUGAGAGGAUGAUCAGCCACACUGGAACUGAGACACGGUCCAGACUCCUACGGGAGGCAGCAGUGGGGAAUAUUGGACAAUGGGCGCAAGCCUGAUCCAGCCAUACCGCGUGGGUGAAGGAGGCCUUCGGGUUGUAAAGCCCUUUUGUUGGGAAAGAAAAGCAGCAGGUUAAUACCCCGCUGUUCUGACGGUACCCAAAGAAUAAGCACCGGCUAACUUCGUG
rnacentral:rRNA from 1 species